GUUGUCUCCAGGUUUUUUAAUGAGCUCCAUCGGCACUGGGUAUGACCUGUCAGCCUCUACAUUCUCUCCUGACGGAAGAGUUUUUCAAGUUGAAUAUGCUAUGAAGGCUGUGGAAAAUAGUAGUACAGCUAUUGGAAUCAGAUGUAAAGAUGGUGUUGUCUUUGGGGUAGAAAAAUUAGUCCUUUCUAAACUUUAUGAAGAAGGUUCCAACAAACGACUUUUUAAUGUUGAUCGGCAUGUUGGAAUAGCAGUAGCAGGUUUGUUGGCAGAUGCUCGUUCUUUAGCAGACAUAGCCAGAGAAGAAGCUUCCAACUUUAGAUCUAACUUUGGCUACAACAUUCCACUAAAACAUCUUGCAGACAGAGUGGCCAUGUAUGUGCAUGCAUAUACACUCUACAGUGCUGUUAGACCUUUUGGCUGCAGUUUCAUGUUAGGGUCUUACAGUGUGAAUGACGGUGCGCAACUCUACAUGAUUGACCCAUCAGGUGUUUCAUACGGUUAUUGGGGUUGUGCCAUUGGCAAAGCCAGGCAAGCUGCAAAGACGGAAAUAGAGAAGCUUCAGAUGAAAGAAAUGACCUGCCGUGAUAUUGUUAAAGAAGUUGCAAAAAUAAUUUACAUAGUACAUGAUGAAGUUAAGGAUAAAGCUUUUGAACUAGAACUCAGCUGAGUUGGUGAAUUAACUAAUGGAAGACAUGAAAUUGUUCCAAAAGAUAUAAGGGAAGAAGCAAAGAAAUAUGCUAAGGAAUCUCUGAAGGAAGAAGAUGAAUCAGAUGAUGAUAAUAUGUAACACUGACUCCAGCAUCUAUUGUAUUUUAAAUUUCUACUCCACUGUAACUAUUUAGCCCUGUGGAUUAUAAAUACUCACUGUCCAAUUUUCAUUAAAUUUUUGUCUUAUAACAAAAAAA